rnacentral:rRNA from 1 species
UUUACAGGCUUAACACAUGCAAGUCGAGGGGCAGCAUGGUCUUAGCUUGCUAAGGCCGAUGGCGACCGGCGCACGGGUGAGUAACACGUAUCCAACCUGCCGUCUACUCUUGGACAGCCUUCUGAAAGGAAGAUUAAUACAAGAUGGCAUCAUGAGUCCGCAUGUUCACAUGAUUAAAGGUAUUCCGGUAGACGAUGGGGAUGCGUUCCAUUAGAUAGUAGGCGGGGUAACGGCCCACCUAGUCUUCGAUGGAUAGGGGUUCUGAGAGGAAGGUCCCCCACAUUGGAACUGAGACACGGUCCAAACUCCUACGGGAGGCAGCAGUGAGGAAUAUUGGUCAAUGGGCGAGAGCCUGAACCAGCCAAGUAGCGUGAAGGAUGACUGCCCUAUGGGUUGUAAACUUCUUUUAUAAAGGAAUAAAGUCGGGUAUGGAUACCCGUUUGCAUGUACUUUAUGAAUAAGGAUCGGCUAACUCCGUGCCAGCAGCCGCGGUAAUACGGAGGAUCCGAGCGUUAUCCGGAUUUAUUGGGUUUAAAGGGAGCGUAGAUGGAUGUUUAAGUCAGUUGUGAAAGUUUGCGGCUCAACCGUAAAAUUGCAGUUGAUACUGGAUAUCUUGAGUGCAGUUGAGGCAGGCGGAAUUCGUGGUGUAGCGGUGAAAUGCUUAGAUAUCACGAAGAACUCCGAUUGCGAAGGCAGCCUGCUAAGCUGCAACUGACAUUGAGGCUCGAAAGUGUGGGUAUCAAACAGGAUUAGAUACCCUGGUAGUCCACACGGUAAACGAUGAAUACUCGCUGUUUGCGAUAUACCGCAAGCGGCCAAGCGAAAGCGUUAAGUAUUCCACCUGGGGAGUACGCCGGCAACGGUGAAACUCAAAGGAAUUGACGGGGGCCCGCACAAGCGGAGGAACAUGUGGUUUAAUUCGAUGAUACGCGAGGAACCUUACCCGGGCUUAAAUUGCAGAUGAAUUACGGUGAAAGCCGUAAGCCGCAAGGCAUCUGUGAAGGUGCUGCAUGGUUGUCGUCAGCUCGUGCCGUGAGGUGUCGGCUUAAGUGCCAUAACGAGCGCAACCCUUGUUGUCAGUUACUAACAGGUUCCGCUGAGGACUCUGACAAGACUGCCAUCGUAAGAUGUGAGGAAGGUGGGGAUGACGUCAAAUCAGCACGGCCCUUACGUCCGGGGCUACACACGUGUUACAAUGGGGGGUACAGAGGGCCGCUACCACGCGAGUGGAUGCCAAUCCCCAAAACCUCUCUCAGUUCGGACUGGAGUCUGCAACCCGACUCCACGAAGCUGGAUUCGCUAGUAAUCGCGCAUCAGCCACGGCGCGGUGAAUACGUUCCCGGGCCUUGUACACACCGCCCGUCAAGCCAUGGGGGCCGGGGGUACCUGAAGUGCGUAACCGCGAGGAGCGCCCUAGGGUAAAACUGGUGACUGGGG